rnacentral:snRNA from 1 species
UCCCCAAAUGUAGACAAAG